rnacentral:misc_RNA from 1 species
UACAGAGACCCCUAGUGUUAUCCGGAAUCAUUGGGCGUAAAGCGUCCGCAGGCGGAAAUGUGCGUCAACUGUUAAAGCUUUGGGCUCAACCCAAAAAUCGCAGUUGAUACGACAUUUCUUGAGGCAGGGAGAGGUAGACGGAACUCCUGGUGGAGCGGUGAAAUGCGUUGAUAUCAGGGGGAACACCAAUUGCGAAGGCAGUCUACUGGUCCUGUCCUGACGCUCAUGGACGACAGCGUAGGGAGCGAAGCGG